rnacentral:rRNA from 1 species
UAUUUAAUUGGUAGGAGAGCGUUCUUAUCAGCGAUGAAGGUAUACCGUGAGGAGUGCUGGAGCGAUAAGAAGUGAGAAUGCCGGUAUGAGUAGCGCAAGACAGGUGAGAAUCCUGUCCACCGUAAGACUAAGGUUUCCAGGGGAAGGCUCGUCCGCCCUGGGUUAGUCGGGACCUAAGGAGAGGCCGAAUGGCGUAUCCGAUGGACAACAGGUUGAUAUUCCUGUACUAGGUUAUAUAGUGAUUGGAGGGACGCAGUAGGCUAAGGUAAGCCAGUUAAUGGAUUCUGGUCUAAGCAGUGAGGUUUGGUAUGAGUCAAAUGCUUGUACCUAUAAGAUUGCGCUGUGAUGGGGAAGCACUUUCGAGUGCGAAGUACCUGAUGUCACACUGCCAAGAAAAUCUUCUAGCGUUUAAUUAUAACCUACCCGUACCGCAAACCGACACAGGUAGUCGAGGCGAGUAGCCUCAGGUGAGCGAGAGAACUCUCGUUAAGGAACUCGGCAAAAUGACCCCGUAACUUCGGGAGAAGGGGUGCUCUACAUUUGUAGAGCCGCAGUGAAUAGGCCCAAGCGACUGUUUAUCAAAAACACAGCUCUCUGCUAAAUCGUAAGAUGAUGUAUAGGGGGUGACGCCUGCCCGGUGCUGGAAGGUUAAGAGGAGUGCUUAGCGUAAGCGAAGGUAUGAAUUGAAGCCCCAGUAAACGGCGGCCGUAACAAUAACGGUCCUAAGGUAGCGAAAUUCCUUGUCGGGUAAGUUCCGACCCGCACGAAAGGCGUAACGAUUUGGGCACUGUCUCAACGAGAGACUCGGUGAAAUUUUAGUACCUGUGAAGAUGCAGGUUACCCGCGACAGGACGGAAAGACCCCAUGGAGCUUUACUGCAAGUUGAUAUUGAGUAUCUGUUGCACAUGUACAGGAUAGGUAGGAGCCAUUGAUCUGAGGACGCUAGUUUUCAGUGAGGCGAUGUUGGGAUACUACCCUUGUGUCAUGGCUACUCUAACCCGCAUGCCUAAUCGGCAUGGGAGACAGUGUCUGCUGGGCAGUUUGACCGGGGCGGUCGCCUCCUAAAGAGUAACGGAGGCGCUCAAAGUUUCCCUCAGCAUGGUUGGAAAUCAUGCGUAGAGUGUAAAGGUAUAAGGGAGAUUGACUGCGAGACUUACAAGUCGAGCAGGUACGAAAGUAGGACUUAGUGAUCCGGUGGUACCGCAUGGAAGGGCCAUCGCUCAACGGAUAAAAGCCACCCUGGGGAUAACAGGCUUAUCUCCCCCAAGAGUUCACAUCGACGGGGAGGUUCGGCACCUCGAUGUCGGCUCGUCGCAUCCUGGGGCUGUAGUCGGUCCCAAGGGUUGGGCUGUUCGCCCAUUAAAGCGGCACGCGAGCUGGGUUCAGAACGUCGUGAGACAGUUCGGUCCCUAUCCGUCGCGGGCGUAGGAAAUUUGAGAGGAUCUGCCCUUAGUACGAGAGGACCGGGGUGGACUUACCGCUGGUGUACCAGUUGUCUUGCCAAAGGCAUCGCUGGGUAGCUAUGUAGGGAACGGAUAAACGCUGAAAGCAUCUAAGUGUGAAACCAACCUCAAGAUGAGAUUUCCCAUUCUUUAUGAAUUAAGAGCCCUGAGAGAUGAUCAGGUAGAUAGGCUAGAAGUGGAAGGACAGUGAUGUUUGGAGCGGACUAGUACUAAUAGCUCGAGGACUUUACU